GACGAACGCUGGCGGCGUGCUUAACACAUGCAAGUCGAACGAUGAAGCCGGAGCUUGCUCUGGUGAAUUAGUGGCGAACGGGUGAGUAACACGUGAGUAACCUGCCCUUGACUCUGGGAUAACUGCGGGAAACUGUAGCUAAUACCGGAUACGACCCUCGGAGGCAUCUCCUGGAGGUGGAAAGAAUUUCGGUCAAGGAUGGACUCGCGGCCCAUCGGCUAGUUGGUGAGGUAACGGCACACCAAGGCGACGACGGGUAGCCGGCCUGCGAGGGUGACCGGCCACACUGGGACCGAGACACGGCCCAGUCUCCUACGGGAGGCAGCAGUGGUGAAUAUUGCACAAUGGGCGCAAGGCUGAUGCAGCAACGCCGCGGGAGGGAUGACGGCCUUCGGGGUGUAAACCUCUUUUAGCAGUGAAGAAGCGAAAGUGACGGUACCUGCAGAAAAAGCACCGGCUAACUACGUGCCAGCCGCCGCGGUAA
rnacentral:rRNA from 1 species